UACCAGCACCCCGAGUGGUCGGGACGUUUAUUGGGCCUAAAGCAUCCGUAGCCGGUUCUACGAGUCUUCCGUUAAAUCCAACUGCUUAACAGGUGGGCUGCGGAAGAUACUAUAGAGCUAGGAGGCGGGAGAGGCAAGCGGUACUCGAUGGGUAGGGGUAAAAUCCGUUGAUCCAUUGAAGACCACCAGUGGCGAAGGCGGCUUGCCAGAACGCGCUCGACGGUGAGGGAUGAAAGCUGGGGGGAGCAAACCGG
rnacentral:rRNA from 1 species